GCGGGCGUAGCUUAGUUGGAUAAAGCGCUGCCCUGUCACGGCAGAGAUCAGGGGUUCGAGUCCCCUCGCUCGCG
rnacentral:tRNA from 3 species